GGGUGAGUAAUGUCUGGGAAACUGCCUGAUGGAGGGGGAUAACUACUGGAAACGGUAGCUAAUACCGCAUAACGUCGCAAGACCAAAGAGGGGGACCUUCGGGCCUCUUGCCAUCAGAUGUGCCCAGAUGGGAUUAGCUAGUAGGUGGGGUAAUGGCUCACCUAGGCGACGAUCCCUAGCUGGUCUGAGAGGAUGACCAGCCACACUGGAACUGAGACACGGUCCAGACUCCUACGGGAGGCAGCAGUGGGGAAUAUUGCACAAUGGGCGCAAGCCUGAUGCAGCCAUGCCGCGUGUGUGAAGAAGGCCUUCGGGUUGUAAAGCACUUUCAGCGAGGAGGAAGGUGGUGAGCUUAAUACGCUCAUCAAUUGACGUUACUCGCAGAAGAAGCACCGGCUAACUCCGUGCCAGCAGCCGCGGUAAUACGGAGGGUGCAAGCGUUAAUCGGAAUUACUGGGCGUAAAGCGCACGCAGGCGGUUUGUUAAGUCAGAUGUGAAAUCCCCGGGCUCAACCUGGGAACUGCAUUUGAAACUGGCAAGCUAGAGUCUCGUAGAGGGGGGUAGAAUUCCAGGUGUAGCGGUGAAAAUGCGUACAGAUCUGGAGGAAUACCGGUGGCGAA
rnacentral:rRNA from 1 species